AAGUCGUAACAAGGUUUCCGUAGGUGAACCUGCGGAAGGAUCAUUAUUAGUGUCGUGGCCCAGCCACGAUUCUCUAUCAUCCACUCUGUGCACUUAUUGAAGUUGUUGCUUUGGCAUCUGCCAGAGGAAAAAGGGGAUUUAUCCCCAACUUCUAGCCUGAUAUCUGACUGAAUAAACUUUUUUAAACCAAAUACAACUUUCAACAACGGAUCUCUUGGCUCUC
rnacentral:misc_RNA from 1 species